rnacentral:lncRNA from 1 species
AUAAACAUGAAUCUCUUGUAAAAAGAAAAAAAAUCAUUGAAGGAACAUAUUGAAUGAAAAUGGUAUACCUGGCACUUUGGAUUUAUAAUUCUUACACUGUAAUAACCUCAUUAUCUUAUUUUAUCUUCUAUACCAGUAUAUGUAUAUAUCUGCUAGUUACAUGCAAACAAAUGAGUCUGUGAUAACAAUAUUGAGAAGUUGGGCAAUCUAUAUAUUUUUACUAUGACUAUUACUUAACAUCUACAGAUCUGAUAAUAUUUGUUAUAAAAUACUUUUCUUUCAAACCUUGAAAUGGAUUCAUCUAAGUGCCAAGAAAAAAAUAAGUAUCUAAAAAUGUCUUCUCUGGAGAUUUAUGCUGGGAAGUGUCAGAACAAUGGGCAAAGUACAACUGAGAGGGCUCAGUGAGGCUCAGUCACUGCCAGGCCCCAAGUGUUCCAGAAGAUUAGCACUGUCGUAAGCGUAAUUAUGAUAGAUGAUGAUUAGGUGCUAUCUUUGGUUGUUUUUUCUGGCUUUCUUUGACAUGCUUGUCUUAAUUAAAUCCAAACUAGAAUGAAAAAUAAGAAAAUCUGCCAUUUAACCUACUGUAUAAAAAGCCAAAAUUACACAUCAGCUCAUAUUUAUUCAUCUUUAACAAGAAAAGCAAUGCCAUUGGAGAUUAAUCAAGUGUUGUUGUUUUUAUUUAACUCUUAUAUCUUUUAGAUUUAUGUUUACUAGAAGCCAUGGAUGUGAAAGUAUGUAAAAUUAUAAGACUCUGGGAAGACAGACUGAGAAUAGAGGAGAAAUAAUCUGCCAUGUUGUUAGCUCCCCUGUGAGGAGACCCAUGUGAUGAGGAACUGAGGCCUGACAACAGUCAGAAGAGUGGGCUUGGAAGUGGAUCCUUAAGCUCCAAACCUUGAGAUGAUCCCAUUUCUGGCCAACAUCUUGACAGAAAUCUGAUGCAAGACCCUGAGCCAGAACCACCCAGUUUAGCUGUACCCUGAUCCUUGACCCUGAGGAAUUGUGAGAUAAAUGUUUUCUCUCUCAAGCUUCUAAACUUUGGGGUUUCAGAAGAAACUACCUUAAUGAAGAAACAGAAGGGAAAGACGUGAAAACCUCCAGAGUUCUUCAGAAAGGCUUCCUUUGCAUAGAAUCGUUCAUCAAUUUCAACAGUAACAGAAAGUAACGGAAACGUGAUCUGAAUGAGUAGCUGAAAAUUGAGUAGUAACUUAACACUCCAUUGAAGUUUUUCAUCAGAUAUGGGGCACAGCUUGACCCUCGUAUUAUAAAUAUUUAAAUGCUUUGGAUAUUUUGCCAAAGUUUAAGCAUUUCUUCCCAAAGGAACAGUGGUGAUAUAAUGUGAGUCAUGCUAAAGUACUUAACCAUCAGUGGGCAGAUUUUGUGGCAUGAAUUUUUGUAAUGAUUUUAAGUAAGACCCGGUAUAUUCACAAAUAUCCAAAACUUUAUUUAGAACUGUAUGGGAAGCUAUUCUAUCUAAAAGCUCAUUCUUAUUAAAAGUAUUUUUUCAGGAAAUAAAAUGAUGUUAAACCUGGAAGUCUCCAGCAAAGAGACUGAUUUUUUUUUAGAUGCUCCCAACUCAGUAAAUUUUGCUUUCCUAUUUUCUUAUUUUUGUACGUAUGCCACUGAUGUCUAGCUUAUACACUUCUGUUAUAUUUACAGCUGUUUACAACCAUUGAACCAAAAGUUCUAUACCUGUUGAAUGUCUAAAAGUAGAGAAAAUUAAUUGAAAAGCAAUAGGUUAAGAAUCAACCUGUGGUCCCAAGAAAAAGAAGUAAAAUCCUAUAAAAUUCUUAAAGCAUUUCCUCUAUAAAUAUUUGAAAGUUAUUUAAUCUUUUGGUCUUUAUAGUGCCUGGAUUGACAUUCUGCAUUAACUAUGGAAUCAUUUUUAUAAGGAAUAUUUUGUGAUUUGUAUAAGAAAAAGUAUUUCUCAAUGGCAUAGGAAGAGCUUUGCUAACUCUUAGAAGAAAGAGGGAAGAGAAGAGGGAAGGAAACAAGUAAAACGAACUGGUGGUACAUCGUGUAUUAAGAGAUAAUACAAGGAUAUCAUACUAUAAUGUUUUCAGACAAAAAUUAUGGACAGGCUAAUUCGUGAAAUAAGAUGAAGACCUAAAAGGUAGCAAUGAUCCUAUACACUAUACUCUGUAACAGUUGUUUUCAAACUGCUUUUUAAACAUAAAAACAAUUUUAAAUCCACUAUUUUAGCACAUUCUGGUCUUAUAUAGUAAUUACAUGGCUAUAUUUUUCCAGUGUGACAUAUUUAAAAUACAUAUCAUUAAAUUUCUGGUUAAUCUUAAACAUGGAAAUAAAGUACGAAAUUUCUAGUUGUUGAAGUAUGUUUAAAAUAAAAUAUAUUAAAAUAUCA